GAUGAACGCUAGCGAUAGGCCUAACACAUGCAAGUCGAGGGGCAGCACAUGAAGCAGCAAUGCGGAGUGGUGGCGACCGGCGCACGGGUGAGUAACGCGUAUGCAACCUACCUACAACAGGGGAAUAACCCGUUGAAAAACGGACUAAUACCCCAUAAAACAGGGAUCCCGCAUGGGAAUAUUUGUUAAAGAUUUAUCGGUUGUAGAUGGGCAUGCGUUCCAUUAGCUAGUUGGUGAGGUAACGGCUCACCAAGGCAACGAUGGAUAGGGGAACUGAGAGGUUUAUCCCCCACACUGGUACUGAGACACGGACCAGACUCCUACGGGAGGCAGCAGUGAGGAAUAUUGGUCAAUGGGCGCAAGCCUGAACCAGCCACGUCGCGUGAAGGAAGACGGCCCUACGGGUUGUAAACUUCUUUUGUAAGGGAAUAAAGUGUAGUACGUGUACUAUUUUGCAUGUACCUUACGAAUAAGGAUCGGCUAACUCCGUG
rnacentral:rRNA from 1 species